UCGGCUCGCGGGUGGCGGGUCCGGGACGCCGGCCGCGGCCGCCCUCGCCCACCCCGGGGACCCGGAGAGUAGGCACUGCCGCCGCCGGGCCGCCAUGUUGUUUGCGGACCUUCGCCCGAGAUGGCCAGGAGGAUUUUCUUUCCUUCUGAAAUACUCAUAGGAAGGAACAUGCAAUUAUCUCCUACUUUUAGCAGGAGACAAACAACAACAACAACAAAACAGCAAAUGGCACAAUAAAAGCAUCCCAUGCACAGUAAACCUAUUUCAAAUUUUCACGAGUCUAUGUUAAAAGAAACUGUUUUCUAAGGUUGCUGAAGACAUCAAAACGAGUCCGAAUGGCAGACACUGUUACUCAUUUUUUCCUUUUGUCUUGCUAGCAGAACCCUGAUUUAACUUGUGAUGGCAAUAGGCCCAGUUAAGAGUGGUUUCUUUUCUGAACUUCCUUGCAACUAGAGGCGGCCAUGCCACAUAAUUCUGACCAAUGAGGUGUAAGCUGAAUGUUUUAGGGAAAGUUUUUGCUACUUCUGUCCUGUCUGAAGCAAGGAUAUGAUGAGUGGAUAUGGUGCUACAAUCUUGUAACAGUCAGCUGCAAGCAUGAGGAUGAAUAUCAGGACAGUGCAGUGGAAAGACAGAAGGAAUCUAGAACAUUCCUGAAAUUGGGGAAAUGAUACACCAGCUUGGACUAUGUCUGAAUUUCUUGUUUCGUGACACAAAUAAAUUCCUCUCUUGUUUAAAUCCA